CGGCAACAGCUCAAAUUUGAAAUCUGGCCUCUUUGGGGUCCGAGUUGUAAUUUGGAGAGGAUGUUUCGGGUACGGUCCGGGCUUAAAUUUCUUGGAACAGAAUGUCACAGAGGGUGAGAAUCCCGUCUGGAGUCCGGACACGGCCUAUGUGAAACUCCUUCGACGAGUCGAGUUGUUUGGGAAUGCAGCUCUAAAUGGGUGGUAAAUUUCAUCUAAAGCUAAAUAUUGGCCAGAGACCGAUAGCGCACAAGUAGAGUGAUCGAAAGAUGAAAAGCACUUUGAAAAGAGAGUUAAAAAGUACGUGAAAUUGUCGAAAGGGAAGCGCUGGCAACCAGACUUGCACGUCGGGGUUCCCCCUUGCUUUUGCCUGGGUUACUCCCCGGCGUUCAGGCCAACAUCGGUUUCGGGGGUUGGUUAAAGGCCUUGGGAAUGUACUUACCCUCCGGGGUAAACUUAUAGCCCAAGGUGUCAUGCGACCUCCCGGGACCGAGGAACGCGCUUCGGCUCGGAUGUUGGCGUAAUGGUUGUCAGCGACCCGUCUUGAAACACGGACCAAGGAGUCUAACAUCUAUGCGAGUGUUAGGGUGUCAAACCCUUACGCGGAAUGAAAGUGAACGGAGGUAGGAAGCCGUUAGGCUGCACUAUCGACCGAUCCUGAAGUUUACGGAUGGAUUUGAGUAAGAGCAUAGCUGUUGGGACCCGAAAGAUGGUGAACUAUGCCUGAAUAGGGUGAAGCCAGAGGAAACUCUGGUGGAGGCUCGCA
rnacentral:rRNA from 1 species